rnacentral:rRNA from 1 species
CUGGAAUGGCUUAUGGUCCAAACAGUUUACUGCCAUGGGAUGGGACUGCGGCCUAUCAGCUUGUUGGUGAGGUAAUGGCCCACCAAGGCUAUAACAGGUACGGGCUCUGAGAGGAGAAGCCCGGAGAUGGGUACUGAGACACGGACCCAGGCCCUAUGGGGCGCAGCAGGCGAGAAACCUUAGCAAUGUGCGAAAGCACGACUGGGUCAGUCCGAGUGAUUCCUGAUAAAGGAGUCUUUUAUCUGUCCUAAAAGCACAGGUGAAUAAGGGGUGGGCAAGUCUGGUGUCAGCCGCCGCGGUAAUACCAGCACCUCGAGUGGUCAGGACGUUUAUUGGGCCUAGAGCAUCCGUAGCCGGCUUUGCAAGUCUUCGGUUAAAUCCACCUGCUCAACAGAUGGGCUGCUGGAGAUACUACAAAGCUAGGGAGUGGGAGAGGCAGACGGUAUUCAGUGGGUAGGGGUAAAAUCCUCUGAUCCAUCGAGGACCACCAGUGGCGAAGGCGGUCUGCCAGAACACGUUCGACGGUGAGGGAUGAAAGCUGGGGGAGCAAACCGGAUUAGAUACCCGGGUAGUCCCAGCUGUAAACGAUGCAAACUCGGUGAUGCAUUGGCUUAUGGCCAAUGCAGUGCCGCAGGGAAGCCGUUAAGUUUGCCGCCUGGGAAGUACGGACGCAAGUCUGAAACUUAAAGGAAUUGGCGGGGGAGCACCACAAGGGGUGAAGCCUGCGGUUCAAUUGGAGUCAACGCCGGG